rnacentral:rRNA from 1 species
GCAGCAGUGGGGAAUUUUGCGCAAUGGGGGAAACCCUGACGCAGCAACGCCGCGUGAGUGAUGAAGGCUUUCGGGUCGUAAAGCUCUGUCAAGAGGGGCGAAGUGUACGGAGGUUAAUACCCUUUGUACUUGACGGUACCUCUGAAGGAAGCACCGGCUAACUCCGUGCCAGCAGCCGCGGUAAUACGGAGGGUGCAAGCGUUGUUCGGAAUUAUUGGGCGUAAAGCGCGUGUAGGCGGUUUGUUAAGUCUGAUGUGAAAGCCCCGGGCUCAACCUGGGAAGUGCAUUGGAAACUGGCAGACUUGAGUACGGGAGAGGGUAGUGGAAUUCCCAGUGUAGGAGUGAAAUCCGUAGAUAUUGGGAGGAACACCGGUGGCGAAGGCGGCUGCCUGGACCGAUACUGACGCUGAGACGCGAAAGCGUGGGGAGCAAACAGGAUUAGAUACCCUGGUAGUCCACGCCGUAAACGAUGAGUACUAGGUGUUGCGGGUAUUGACCCCUGCAGUGCCGCAGCUAACGCAUAAGUACUCC